ACGCUGGCGGCGUGCCUAAUACAUGCAAGUAGAACGCUGAAGGAGGAGCUUGCUUCUCCGGAUGAGUUGCGAACGGGUGAGUAACGCGUAGGUAACCUGCCUGGUAGCGGGGGAUAACUAUUGGAAACGAUAGCUAAUACCGCAUAAUAGUAGAUGUUGCAUGACAUUUACUUAAAAGGUGCAAUUGCAUCACUACCAGAUGGACCUGCGUUGUAUUAGCUAGUUGGUGGGGUAACGGCUCACCAAGGCGACGAUACAUAGCCGACCUGAGAGGGUGAUCGGCCACACUGGGACUGAGACACGGCCCAGACUCCUACGGGAGGCAGCAGUAGGGAAUCUUCGGCAAUGGACGGAAGUCUGACCGAGCAACGCCGCGUGAGUGAAGAAGGUUUUCGGAUCGUAAAGCUCUGUUGUAAGAGAAGAACGAGUGUGAGAGUGGAAAGUUCACACUGUGACGGUAUCUUACCAGAAAGGGACGGCUAACUACGUGCCAGCAGCCGCGGUAAUACGUAGGUCCCGAGCGUUGUCCGGAUUUAUUGGGCGUAAAGCGAGCGCAGGCGGUUAGAUAAGUCUGAAGUUAAAGGCUGUGGCUUAACCAUAGUACGCUUUGGAAACUGUUUAACUUGAGUGCAAGAGGGGAGAGUGGAAUUCCAUGUGUAGCGGUGAAAUGCGUAGAUAUAUGGAGGAACACCGGUGGCGAAAGCGGCUCUCUGGCUUGUAACUGACGCUGAGGCUCGAAAGCGUGGGGAGCGAACAGGAUUAGAUACCCUGGUAGUCCACGCCGUAAACGAUGAGUGCUAGGUGUUAGACCCUUUCCGGGGUUUAGUGCCGCAGCUAACGCAUUAAGCACUCCGCCUGGGGAGUACGACCGCAAGGUUGAAACUCAAAGGAAUUGACGGGGGCCCGCACAAGCGG
rnacentral:rRNA from 1 species